AAAGCAAACUUUUUUUAUUUUGAAGAACGAUCCAGGAAGUAGCAGAACAAAACAACUACAAUUGUGUUCAAUGCUCUAUGGUGUGAACUGUGUAGUCUGAAGACGUUGACUUUACACUGCAAUGCAAAUUACUAUAACAUAAGUGUUUUAACAUAAACAUAGUGCUAAGGACAUGUCCAAUACUGUCGCAUUUCAUGCUCAGCUAGCCUCCAUCGUCGAGGUAUUGGCGAAUGCAGCCGUUGCCGAAAUCUGCAAACUUGUAGAUGACGGCCAUGCUGCUUUACGUUUGGAAAUUUCCCAUAGCCAGAAAGAAAUUGAGAACUUGCGGAGGAAGCUGGUUUUGACAAAAUGUCAGACUUCUCGACGGAGCGCAGAGAGAUUUGGAGCCCUGCGACGCACAGUUCACAGGCACGUGGACACUAAUCAUGUUGCCCGGGGAAGAGGGAGCUUUGUAGUGAAGUCGACAGGCAGAAUUGGAUAUUGGUUUCUCUUGUUUGGUGCAGUGAAGAAUCGUUUUGACGACAUUGAAGAGGGCAACUUCAUGCAGGAUGUCACUACCUGGAAAGACGCAGGACGCACAGCGACAGACCAUAAUGGGGCAUGCAGGUCAGUUGUCAUAGACAUGGUCAAAUGUAUUAUUGUUUAAUCAUAUUUCAAGUGCUGUUGUGGAUAUGUUAUUAAUAAAAGGUUUCUGAUGAAUACAAAACACAGAUGGCAGAUAUGCAAGAGGAACUUGUGUCAAAAUGGAGAACCUUGACACCAGUACAAUGGAAGGUAUUUGUUGUUGUUGAAACUAAUCCAACCCUACGCAAUUUACAUGUUAAGUAAAGUUGUCCAUGUUUAUUUCAGUAUUUUAUUAACUUCUUGGUCAUAACUCAUAAUUAAUAAAUAAGGCAAAGAAGAAUCAGCCUCCACUACAGGAAGCUGAUGCUGUGCUUUACUUUUCCCCAUUUCAGAGAUUGUCCAACCAGUCAGUGAGAGGCAGUGAGAAGAUCAUUGUGGCAGAACCAGGUUCUUCAUCCUCUACUGAACCCACAGACCUUCUGGACCAGCAGGGCAACAGACACCGAGCUCCAGACACCUCACUCAAUAUAGAACCUGAAAACCAGACGUUCCAGCAAUCCAGCAUCACAAUACAGCAGAGCAAGACAGGACAUCAGGUUGCUGAGGGUGUGACCUGGAAACUGACCAUCAACCCAUAGAAUACAGCCUGUCCCAAUGGACAGAGGACCAAGAGACUGACAACCCAACUGUGAAUGCUCCUCAUAAUGCAGGGCCAGACUCCAAGAGGCUGUCUGGACAUCCAGAGAGGAGAGGGGUGCCAGGUAACUCGGGGGUCUGCAUGUCUGCUUCAGGCUCUCUGGACUGGCUGCCUGAUGUGGUGAUGGUGGACUCAGUUCCCAUUAAAGUGGAGGCAGAUAUGAGUUCAGAAUGGAGCAUAACUGGCCAAGAGUGACAUCUGGAGAGGUUUGUUCAGACAGCAGGCAGCUUGUGGACAACAGAGGAAGAGGGGGAAUGGAGUUUGGACAGACAACAUGUCCCCCUGACACUCAACAUGUAGAGCAAGGGAGAACUGUAGGACCAAGGUCCAAGUUUCCAGAUAUCAAUGGACUGUCCAACCGAAACAGCUCUUCAUCCCCAAGGGUUACUCUCCAACAGGUUCCCCAAAGAGGGAAGCCAGCCCCCUUCCCAAAUUUCAACAGAGGCUCCACUUCUUCAUCGAAAGGCAUAGAAAAGCAGCCGCAACAGCUGACGUCUCAAUCCAGCAAGAGAUAUCUCCGGUGCAGCCUCUGCGGGAAGCCCUUCCCCAGGCGUACCUAAGCAGGCACAUGCGGGUCCAUACGGGGGAGAAACCGUACGGCUGCAGCCACUGCACCAAGCGCUUCUCCCACAGCCACCAGCUGAAGAGGCAUGAGAGGGUGCACACCGGAGAGAAACCGUUUCAAUGUGUCUACUGUGGGAAGUGCUUCACCCAGUCCUGUCACAUGAAGAAGCACCUCCUCGUCCACACUGGCGGCAGGCCACAGGACGUUGUGCUGCCCUAAGUGUUCCAGGCUAUAGUUCAGACUAGAUACAGAUCUAGGAUCA
ensembl:lncRNA